CUCUCUCUUCUUUUCUCCCUCAACGCUCAACUCCCAACUUUCUCUAACCUCUCACUCUGUACACUAACACAAAUGGAUGCUGCCACCACCUCACGAUUUUUCGAUGAAAAAUAUGUCAAUUACUCGUCGGAUUGGACAAGACUAAGGCCACAUAUCACUUCCCCUUCAUCUUGAGGUUAGGAUUCGAGCACGGGAGGCUCGAAUUUGCCUCAAUUUCGCGAGAAACCACAAGCCCAGUUUUGGGCUAACAAGCUCAGGCCAUUAUCCGGCCACAACUUGGCCUAAAAAUGUUAACGAAUGAGUGGGCUCCAGUCCUACCACUUCAGCAUUUAACAGAAAAGUUGAUGGAGGUAUGACAUUGCGACAAAGUUAUAAGAUGAUGUAUAACAUUUCAAUGUUCAAAAUAUGGAGUAUGAGAUUAUAUGCGACUCAUAGUUGAGGUGGUU
rnacentral:sRNA from 1 species